UUAUGAAUGACUUAUUAAUUGAUGAAUCGAAUGAAGCUCGUUGGUUCUUCAAAUAUCCUCGACCUGCGCGCGACUUCUUAAAUUUUCGCCGAUUCUCCUAUAAAACAAAACUUCAAAUCUGAAUAGUUUUAGUUGAGCUGAACUUAUAACACCGACAUUUUAUGUUAAAGAGACACUUUUUUUUUUAGAAAUAAAAACACUGGAACCGCCCAAUAAAGUAACGAACAUGAAGACGUGUUGUCUCCUCAUAGCCUUACUCUUGCUCUUCUCGGCAUCAGACUGCGUCCUUUCAGUUUCAGUGAGAACAUGUAUUAUAAAUUGUGGUCAGUGCAAGAAGAUGUUCGGUGAAUAUUUUCUUGGGCAGAGAUGUGCCGAAGAGUGCUUAAGGACGGGAGGAUUCCUCACGCCUGAUUGUAACGACCCAAGCACCAUUAUCCGGUACUUAUCCAAAAUUGCGUAAUUCUUCGUCCUCCCACUACUCAGUGGAAUAUUUAUAAAAAGUUAUAAAACAAUAC